rnacentral:rRNA from 1 species
UACGUAGGUGGCAAGCGUUGUCCGGAAUUAUUGGGCGUAAAGCGCGCGCAGGCGGUCCUUUAAGUCUGAUGUGAAAGCCCUCGGCUCAACCGAGGAGGGUCAUUGGAAACUGGAGGACUUGAGUGCAGAAGAGGAAAGUGGAAUUCCAAGUGUAGCGGUGAAAUGCGUAGAGAUUUGGAGGAACACCAGUGGCGAAGGCGACUUUCUGGUCUGUAACUGACGCUGAGGCACGAAAGCGUGGGGAGCAAACAGG